rnacentral:lncRNA from 13 species
AUGAGCGUCCUGCUCCCCGCGCUUGUCCUGCUGGUGGCCACUACGGCCGUCCUGCUGGCCGCCCGCAUUCGGAAGGCACGGAAGCGCCCCGGGAGCCGGGCCGGGGGGUCCCGGCGCGGCCGAGCAGCCCCAGGGGCUCCCGGCUCCCCCCCGGCUGAGGAGACCCCUCCGCAGGGCGCGGCUGCCCCCGGGAGCGCCCCGUACAUCCCCUGCGGCUGCGGCCCCGGCUGCGCCCCCUGCGCCACAGCGGCCCGGGAGCUGCAGGACCUGGUGACGCCGCUGUGGCCCGGGGUGUCCUUCCCGCGGGACUCGGAGAUGUGGCAGCUCUCGUGGGAGGACCUGGAGCAGCUGCUGGAGCGCGGCCGCCUGCCCUGCUGCGCCUCCUCCAGCUCCUCCGGGAGCCUCCGUCCUUCCCGGAGCCUCAGCGAGAGCUGCCGGACUCCGGAUGGAGAGGACCCCGUGGACGGAUCCUGCUGCUCCCUUGGAGCUGCGAGCGUGAGGAGGAACUGCUCGUCCUUGAGGAUGCACGUGGCCAAGAAGAACCUGGAAGUCAAGCUGAGAGCCCAGCCCGUUCCAGUGAGGUGUUCCCAGGAGCAACUGGUGCAGCGGGGAGCGUCACCCCAUUCCUCCGAGAGCCUGCCACGCUCCGAGAGCCUCAGCGGGAGCUGCCAGACUCCGGACGGAGAAGAUGCCAGGGCCUGCUCUCCGAGCUCCCUCGGAUCCGCGUAUAUCAGCGGGACCCGCUCAGCCCUGAGGAUCCACGUGGCCAAGAAGAGCCUGGAAGUCAAACUGGGAGCCCGGCCUGCUCCGGUGAAGAGUUCCCAGCAGCAAGUGGCGCAGCAGGAAGUGUCCCCGAGGCGCCGGUGCCCAGCGCACGGCUGCCAGGAUCCUGCGGGGCUGCCAAGUGGGAACAACACCCUGUGCUCGGAGUCGGAGAAGAUCCUCCAGAGGCAAAGGGAGUUGGAGUUCCCCCAUCUCCGGGGAGCUCCUCUGAGACGGAUGAGGCUCCUCUUGGCAGCUCAGAUACUCCUGAGGAUGCUCUGUUUUAAAUAA